rnacentral:rRNA from 1 species
AGAGUUUGAUCCUGGCUCAGGAUGAACGCUAGCGGGAGGCUUAACACAUGCAAGUCGAGGGGCAGCAUUACUUUCGGGUAGAUGGCGACCGGCGGACGGGUGCGUAACGCGUAUGCAACCUACCUUAUACAGGGGGAUAGCCCAUGGAAACGUGGAUUAAUACCCUAUAGUACUUUAUUGCUUCAUGGCGAUUCAGUUAAAACUUCGGUGGUAUAAGAUGGGCAUGCGUCUGAUUAGCUAGAUGGUAGAGUAAUAGCCUACCAUGGCAACGAUCAGUAGGGGUCCUGAGAGGGUUACCCCCCACACUGGUACUGAGACACGGACCAGACUCCUACGGGAGGCAGCAGUGAGGAAUAUUGGUCAAUGGACGAGAGUCUGAACCAGCCAUCCCGCGUGCAGGAUGACGGCCCUAUGGGUUGUAAACUGCUUUUCUACGCCAAGAAAUGUUACUACGUGUAGUAAUUUGACGGUAGCGUAGGAAUAAGGACCGGCUAACUCCGUGCCAGCAGCCGCGGUAAUACGGAGGGUCCAAGCGUUAUCCGGAUUUAUUGGGUUUAAAGGGUGCGCAGGUGGGGAUGUAAGUCAGUGGUGAAAUACUGCCGCUUAACGGUAGCACUGCCAUUGAUACUGCAUCUCUUGAAUAUGGUUGAGGUAGGCGGAAUGUGUCGUGUAGCGGUGAAAUGCAUAGAUAUGACACAGAACACCAAUUGCGAAGGCAGCUUACUAAGCCAUUAUUGACGCUGAGGCACGAAAGCGUGGGGAGCGAACAGGAUUAGAUACCCUGGUAGUCCACGCCGUAAACGAUGUUCACUCGCUGUCUGCGAUACACAGUAGGCGGCUAAGCGAAAGCAUUAAGUGAACCACCUGGGGAGUACGAUCGCAAGGUUGAAACUCAAAGGAAUUGACGGGGGCCCGCACAAGCGGAGGAACAUGUGGUUUAAUUCGAUGAUACGCGAGGAACCUUACCUGGGCUUAAAUGCAAAGCGACGUACCGGGAAACUGGUACUCCCUUCGGGGCGAAUUGCAAGGUGCUGCAUGGCUGUCGUCAGCUCGUGCCGUGAGGUGUCGGGUUAAGUCCCAUAACGAGCGCAACCCCUAUCGUUAGUUGCCAGCGGAUAAUGCCGGGGACUCUAACGAAACUGCCAGUGUAAACUGUGAGGAAGGUGGGGAUGACGUCAAGUCAGCACGGCCCUUAUGUCCAGGGCUACACACGUGUUACAAUGGUCGGAACAGAGGGCAGCUACCUGGUGACAGGAUGCAAAUCUCAAAAUCCGGCCUCAGUUCGGAUCGAAGUCUGCAACUCGACUUCGUGAAGGUGGAUUCGCUAGUAAUCGCGCAUCAGCCACGGCGCGGUGAAUACGUUCCCGGGCCUUGUACACACCGCCCGUCAAGCCAUGGAAGCUGGGGGUACCUGAAGUCCGUAACCGUGAGGAGCGGCCUAGGGUAAAACUAGUGACUGGGGCUAAGUCGUAACAAGGUAGCC